rfam:Aspidoscelis inornata gamma-aminobutyric acid A receptor alpha 4 (GABA) mRNA, partial cds.
AAAGUGUCAUACGCUACUGCCAUGGACUGGUUCAUUGCCGUAUGCUUUGCCUUU